AAAAAAUCAAUUACUAACUUUUAAAUUUUAUAAAAUUUUGUAAUCGAUUUUAAUUAAUGUGUUAGGCUAUAGCAUAAGAUUUUAUUGUCGGAAGGUUUUAUAUAGUAUAUUUAUUUAUAAAAAUUAAUUACUUAGUAGAUAUAGGUUUAAUUGAUGUAAUUAUCAUAAAGGACUUAUGUAUCCCAAGCUAAUGUUGUGCCAGCGGCUGCGGUUAUACAAUUUGGAGUGUGAAAUGGGGUGGUAAAAUAAAAUAUUGUAGAUAAUAAAAAUAAUCGGUUGAUUAAAUUUAUGGCCUAAAGGUAGAAUUGUUUUGGCUUAUGUAGAGUGUUUAUAUUUUUUAUGGCAGAAAUUUUUAAUUAAAUAAAAUAAACUAGGAUUAGAUACCCUACUAUUUUUUAGUAAUAAAAUUUACCGUAGGAUUAGAAAGAAAUUAAAUUAAAAUAGGUUGGCGGCGUGCUGUCUGAUUAGAGGAACUUGAGCAGGAGUCGACAGCCCUCGAGCAGCUUAUCUGAUUUUAGGUUUGUAUAUCUCCGUCGUAUGUGGAUUUUAAGAAAAUAUUUUCUGAAAAUUAGAAUAAAUUUUAUGACAGGUCACGGUGCAGCGUAUGAUCAGGUUGUUUUGAGUUACAAUUUUAGAAGAAAUUACGGAUUUUGCUUUGGAAAAAGUGCAUGAAGGUGGAUUUAUAAGUAGCAGUGAGUUUUUAUGUGGGGCUGUGAGUAAGGAAUAGUAUGUGUACAUAUCGCCCGUCGUUCUCAUUAGAGACAAGUCGUAACAUAGUUGGUUAAUUGGAAAAUUAGCCUUUGUGUAU
rnacentral:rRNA from 1 species